CUGCAGUUCUCCCGUGGGCCCACCAGAAGUCUUGCAAAUGCUCCCUAAGGAGUAAGCCUGCAAAAACUUUCAAAAAAUUCUUGUGAUGCAAGGGGGUACGUAGGGGAUUACAGUGUCAUUGUCACGAUCAUUGUUUUAAAACAUCUGCCGUGGAGGCUUUCUGCAUUAGAGAGAGACAUUCAGGAAACCCGAGGGGUGCGCUGUGCCAAACAGGUUGUGAGUCAGAGCUCCUCUUGGGGGGCCGGAGGGGGGGGGCGCCUUCUCCUGCUUCCUUUCCCAUUCAGCCAGAGCAUCAUGAAACAUUGAUUAAACCCCUACAAUGGGCCUAGCCCUGUUGUGGGGGCCAGGUCGGUUUCUGGGGGUGCAUGGGCUGGGAGCACAAGUGUCCUGGUCCCGGAGUGUGGCGAGCUUCCGGAGACUUUGAUCAACUCCAUCUCCUUUCUGAGUUCCAGUGUCCCCCAUGCCGAAGGUCCUGAUGCCAUCCUAGCCUCCGUUGGACUCUGGAAUGCUUUUGGGAGCUGCCUAGCACGGCUCCUGCUCUGGGUUUUGGUAAGAAUUCAGAUGGGGAAACUGAGGGAGAAGAGGAGAAGGAACUUCAUAUCGCAGAGAUCGGCAUCCAGUUUGGUUGCUCUGGAACAAACAAGAGAAGAGUGCUUCUGAGUACAUAGAUCCUCCUUUGGAUGCAUAAUAAGGAUCUCAUGGUGGGGAUCCUGGGUUUCCUUCUUGACUGCCCCUGUGCAUCAGCACCAAGAGAAUGGGGCCAGAGAGUGGUGAGAGGGAGAGAUGCCUCAGGAAGCCUCCCCUGGAAGGAAGAACUGAUCCUGCCUCAAAGCCCCCCCUCACCACCCAGGCCAGAGACAAAACACAUACCGUAGAAGAGGCAUCCAGAAUGGAAACAACUGUCCAAGCCACCGCAGGAAGCUUACACCCCACGUUCCCAGGCAGAAGUGUGGAUGUUUCCAAACCUAACAGUCUUGGUCCUGAAGUCUCCGGGCUGAUGGAAUGGCUCCUGGUCUACCUUGUGCACUCGUGGAGCACUCACAUCAUACAGCCCCUUAGAGCUCACGAGGCACUUGGACCAGUGGUUACUCUCGUGUGAUCAUCACGUGCCCCACAUGAGAUGGGUCAUUUGAACUAUUCUAGGAGCGCCUGAGUGGCUCAGUCAGUUACGUGUCUGCCUUCGGCUGGGGUCCUGUUCCAGAAGCCUGGCAUUUAGGCCAAUGUGGGGCUUUCCCCUCAGUGGGGAGUCUGCUUCUCCCUCUCCCUCUGCCCCCUGCCUUGCUCGUGCUUUCUCUCUCGACUAUGGAAAAAAAAAAAAUCUUUUAAAAAAGAUAAUUAUUCUAAAGAUGGAGAAAGUGAGGCACCAGAAGCAGGAUGCAAGAAAAACCAGAGUGGAAGGCUUGAAUCCAGGUCUACUGACGUGAGCAUGCUUACUGUUUGGCAUGCUAGCCUGCCCCAGAGACUAGGAGUUACUCUGGGCAAAGGGUUCCAUCCUCUCUGGGUGUAGCCUCAUCCGUGAGCUCGGGGCUUCACCUGGUGUCU
rnacentral:lncRNA from 1 species